rnacentral:rRNA from 1 species
AGUCUGCAACUCGACUGCACGAAGUCGGAAUUGCUAGUAAUCGCGGAUCAGCAUGCCGCGGUGAAUACGUUCCCGGGCCUUGUACACACCGCCCGUCACACCAUGAGAGUCGGGAACACCCGAAGUCGGUAGUCUAACCUCGUGAGGACGCCGCCGAAGGUGGGCUUGAUAAUUGGGGUGAAGUCGUAACAAGGUACC